CUCCGUAGGGUGAACCUGCGGAGGGAUCAUUAUAGAGUGUUAAACUCCCAAAACCCAUGUGAACUUACCUAUGUUGCCUCGGCGGGAAA
rnacentral:rRNA from 1 species